rnacentral:rRNA from 1 species
GAUGAACGCUGGCGGCGUGCCUAAUACAUGCAAGUCGAGCGAACGGACGAGAAGCUUGCUUCUCUGAUGUUAGCGGCGGACGGGUGAGUAACACGUGGAUAACCUACCUAUAAGACUGGGAUAACUUCGGGAAACCGUAGCUAAUACCGGAUAAUAUUUUGAACCGCAUGGUUCAAAAGUGAAAGACGGUCUUGCUGUCACUUAUAGAUGGAUCCGCGCUGCAUUAGCUAGUUGGUAAGGUAACGGCUUACCAAGGCAACGAUGCAUAGCCGACCUGAGAGGGUGAUCGGCCACACUGGAACUGAGACACGGUCCAGACUCCUACGGGAGGCAGCAGUAGGGAAUCUUCCGCAAAGGGCGAAAGCAUGACGGAGCAACGCCGCGUGAGUGAUGAAGGUCUUCGGAUCGUAAAACUCUGUUAUUAGGGAAGAACAUAUGUGUAAGUAACUGUGCACAGCUUGACGGUACCUAAUCAGAAAGCCACGGCUAGCUACGUG